GAUGAACGCUGGCGGCGUGCUUAACACAUGCAAGUCGAACGGAAAGGCCAGUGCUUGCACUGGUACUCGAGUGGCGAACGGGUGAGUAACACGUGGGUGAUCUGCCCUGCACUUCGGGAUAAGCCUGGGAAACUGGGUCUAAUACCGGAUAGGACAAUGGUUUGGAUGCCGUUGUGGAAAGUUUUUUCGGUGUGGGAUGAGCUCGCGGCCUAUCAGCUUGUUGGUGGGGUAAUGGCCUACCAAGGCGUCGACGGGGAGCCGGCCUGAGAGGGUGUACGGCCACAUUGGGACUGAGAUACGGCCCAGACUCCUACGGGAGGCAGCAGUGGGGAAUAUUGCACAAUGGGCGCAAGCCUGAUGCAGCGACGCCGCGUGGGGGAUGACGGCCUUCGGGUUGUAAACUCCUUUCGCUAGGGACGAAGCGUAUUUGUGACGGUACCUGGAGAAGAAGCACCGGCUAACUACGUG
rnacentral:rRNA from 1 species